AUAAUAAAAGUGUAAUUAAGAUACCAUGAUCACGAAGGUGGUUUUCCCAGGACGAGGCUUAUCCAUUGCACUCCGGAUGUGCUGACCCCUGCAAUUUCCCCAAAUGUGGGAAACUCGACACAUAAUUUGUGGUAGUGGGGGACUGCGUUCGCGCUCGCCCCUG
rnacentral:snRNA from 1 species